UUUAAAGAGAGUUUGAUCCUGGCUCAGGACGAACGCUGGCGGCGUGCCUAAUACAUGCAAGUCGAACGAACGGAGGAAGAGCUUGCUCUUCCAAAGUUAGUGGCGGACGGGUGAGUAACACGUGGGCAACCUGCCUGUAAGUUGGGGAUAACUCCGGGAAACCGGGGCUAAUACCGAAUGAUAAAGUUUGGCGCAUGCCACGCUUUUGAAAGAUGGUUUCGGCUAUCGCUUACAGAUGGGCCCGCGGUGCAUUAGCUAGUUGGUAGGGUAAUGGCCUACCAAGGCAACGAUGCAUAGCCGACCUGAGAGGGUGAU
rnacentral:rRNA from 1 species